AUUGAACGCUGGCGGCAGGCCUAACACAUGCAAGUCGAGCGAGCGGCGGACGGGUGAGUAAUGUCUGGGAAACUGCCUGAUGGAGGGGGAUAACUACUGGAAACGGUAGCUAAUACCGCAUACCAUCAGAUGUGCCCAGUGGGGAUUAGCUAGACGGUGGGGUACUGGCCAACCUAGGCGACGCUCCCGAGCUGGUCUGAGAGGAUGACCAGCAACACUGGAACUGAGACACGGUCCAGACUCGUACGGGAGGCAGCAGUGGGGAAUAUUGCACAAUGGGCGAAAGCCUGAUGCAGCAAUGCCGCGUGAGUGAAGAAGGCCUUCGGGUUGUAAAGCACUUUCAGCGGGGAGGCGUUACCCGCAGAAGAAGCACCGGCUAACUCCGUGCCAGCAGCCGCGGUAAUUC
rnacentral:rRNA from 1 species